GGCAGAUCAUGCUCAUCAUAUUGAAAAAUAAUUAUUCAUCAUAAGUACAUAUGUAUUAGUAAUUUAUGGCUUACAAAUAUUGUUUCUAGAGCUCUUCUCUUAUCCAUAGCACUGUAUAAAUCGUCUUUAUUAAGCUGAGUCCAUGAGCUAUACCUGCUAAUUCUGAGGUUAAUGCAAAAGACAUGGAGAUUAGCCUCUCAAUCCAACUAACCAAUCGUUCCUUCUUUAUAUCUCUUUUUUUUCUUUUCCUACUUGAGUAUUGCCACUUUGGCACAAUAAAGUUUUAUAUUUCUUAUUAGAAAAAGUAAAUUUUUUUUUUCAAAUUAAAAUAAUACACUAGUUUGGUGGUUCAAUCUUGCAUUAUUUCUUCCAUUCAAAGCACAGAUAAAAUAGCUUAUCCCAAAGGGCAUGCAGUUAUUAUCCAACUUGGUAGACUUAAUUUAUCAGCUUCCUUCCCAAGUAUUUAACGAAACAAUUCUAUCCAUAGCCCAAUAAAAUCCCUUUUUAUCACCAAGGGUGUAUCCUUCCGGUGACUGACCAAGCACAGGUGUUGUUCAUGAGGACUUGGAUAUGAAAUGCUCUCCCCAGAGUGCACAACUCCUUACAAGAAUAUUCAGAGUACAGUGUGUUCCAGGCAUGCAGCACCUGUUACUCACUUGUUUAAAUGUCUCAUGAAGGGGACAGAGAAAAAAUAGUUUCUCUCUGUCUCUGCGAACAUACAUAAAUUUAGCAUACAGUUCUUUUUCGGCCAAGCACAAGUUUGAAUUACCUUAAGAAAGGCCAUAAGAUAUAAUUUCUUGAAGAUGCUCUUCACAUUACAAUUUAUUCCAUAAAAUAAGAGAGGAGGUGGUGGCCAGGAGAAGGGAGGAUAAAGAUGGAGAUAAAAGAAAUGAAAAAUAAAAUGGAAGGCAAGAUGGUAAAUCCAGAAAUGAAGCUGGGAUAAAAAAAGAGAACUCAUGAGUUCAUCCCGACUAGUAGUGUUUGCAUUAUGUCAAAGUAUUUGAUGUUCUAAUUCUAUUCACUUCUGGUCAUGUGAAAUCCAGGUAACUGGUUUUUAAAUAUUGAAAAAUCACUUUCUAUGUAUGAACAUGUUAUUGACCAACUUGACUUAGGAAAUAGACUGAGUUUGUAUUAUUUUUCCUGUAUUUUGAGAUGCACUCAAUCUAAAUAGGAGACCUGAAUGUUUUCUUCUCCCAUGAGACCAACCAGCCUUAAUCUCAUUAAAAUCAUACUGGUAGCUAGGUAUGGUGGCUCACACCUGUAAUCCCAGCACUUUGGGAGGCUGAGGCGGGGGGAUCACUUGGGGCCAGGAGUUUGAGACCAGCCUGGCCAACAUGACGAAACCCUAAACUACUAAAAAUACAAAAAUUAGCAAGGUGUGGUGGUAAUCCCAAGGUAAUGCCUGUAAUCCCAGCUACUCUAGAGGCUGAGGCAUGAGAAUUGCUUGAAACAGGGAGGCAGAGGUUGCAGUGAGCUGAGAUACUGCCACUGCACUCCAGCCUGGAUGACAGAGCAAGACUCUGUCUCAAAAUAAAUAAAUAAAUAAAUAAAUAAAUAAAUAAAUAAAUAAAAUCAUACUGGAAAAAACUAAAAUAUUUAGGUCCAACAUUACUUUGUUAAGUUUCUUGUUAAGUGAUACAGUUUUGCUGUGUCCCCACCCAAAUCUCACCUUGAACUUAAUAAUCCCCACAUGUCAAGGGUGGGGCCAGGUAGAGAUAAUUGAAUCAUGGGGGCAGUUUCUUCCAUACUCUUCUUGUGGUAGUAAAUAAGUCUCAUGAUAUCUGAUGGUUUUAUAAAGGAGAGCUCCUCUGCACAAGCUUUCUCUUGCCUGCUACCAUGUAAGACAUGACUUUGCUUUUCAUUCGCCUUCCACCAUGAUUGUGAGGCCUCCCCAACCAUAUGGAACUGUGAAUCAAUUAAACCUCUUUCCUUUACAAAUUACCCACUCUUUGGUAUGUCUUUAUUAGCAGUGUGAGAACAGACUAAUACAGUACAGUCAUUGACAUUGCUGAAACCAAGGAACAUUGGAAUGGAAAGCACUUACUAUGUGCAUUCUGCGGUGGAUAAUGCUUAUUAAGAGCACAUUCUCUCUUAAAUCAAUAUAGCAAUGAUUGGAAGCAAAUCAUGAUUUGUUACUGCAGAGUGCACAUAGUAAGUGCUUCCCCAAAGUGUGUGUGCUUAAGUUGCAUGCAUACACGGGUGUGUGUGUACUCACAGGCACAUACACACACAUACCCUGCAGUGUUCAGACAAAGCUGUGGCUGCUGAACACCUGCAUUGCUUCAGCAUUUCAUUACUCUAUUGAAGUAAAACACCUGUCUACACACUUUGGACUUCUGUCACUUUUAUAUGUACCACUGUUUAUUAAUAGCCACUUUGUGAGUCGUUUUCCAGCCUUCUGGGGCUGCUUUUAGAAUUGCAGACAUACUCAGAAGAAGGGAAUUCAAGGUCAGCAGUCAGUGUUAAGCAAGUCCUAUAUUUAUAAAAUUUUUAGAAAUGAAUAACUUAUCAUUCUUCAUCUCCAUCCUUGCUGGGCUCAGGACCAGCCACUAUUUUCACCAAAUCUUUUUUUAACACAGGGAUGAACAUCUAGUGGGCAUCUGUGGUUCAAGCUCACUCAAGGUUUGUCACUCUGGUGAUUGGCUAAGGAAUAACAGUAUGGAGUCAGCUCUGCCUUCUCUUCCUGCCAAUCUGGCUCACCUCAGGACCAGGUGCAAAUUUCACGGGAGCAUCUAGCCUCUGAAAAACUCUUCAUAGUCGCUGCCAUUCUUUCCAGGAAAGAGAAGAAUGUGCAGUGAUGGACGACGUGUAUUUUUGUUGGUGUAUUUCUGCAUAUGUGUUUUGUUUACUCUCUUUUUUUUCCUUUUUUCUUUUUUUAAUUUGCUUUUCACCAAACUGGAGUGAGGGCUUGUGCUAGGUUUUGGACUCUGAUCUGCCUUUGAAGACUCUUCCAAAUGCAAAGACUUCAUGUUCCUUGUUUAUUAUGGAAAAAUAAACAAUGAAGAACUAGUGGAUGCUCUACCCAUAAUGGAAUAAACCAAGAAGGAGCAAGACUAAAGAUCAGAAAGCAGGUAAUCCAAAUCGAGAGAGACAAAAGAAAUGACCAGGAGGUACAGAGGGUCCAAGAUUAUAGUUGAGAAGAAGCUUUCAAACAGAGGAGAGCCAUUUCAGAUUGGACAAAAGCACCCCCUGCCCCCACCACCGGAAGGAUGCUUCCAGGGGAAAGACAGAUGAAGAAGAAAUGGAGAGAUUACCAGGAAAACUAAGGCUAACACAGUCACCGUUGGGCCAUUCUCUGCUUACACUGUAAGAAGUGGAAUUACCAGGGCACAAGCUGCACUGCUCAUAGCUGGCAUACUUCUCUAUGGAAUGCUGAGAAAAGGGAGAUAUGCAUUGCUUCUUGCCAACCUUUGCAAGCAAACUGAGAAAACUACGGGAGGCCCUCUUUAUUCAGGAUUCAGCUUAAUUUCUGUUGAGCCUGGAAAAGGGCUUGAUCCCUGAUGGCUUACACAAAGCAUGGAGAUGCACACUUGACUAUACACAGCUGCAGUAUCAUUUGGGUUCACAAGCUUGUCUUCUACACAAGAAAAUCUGCAUCCUUCAUACCAUCAUGUUAAGAAGUGUAAUUUGUGUUCCGGCCAGGGCAAUUAGGCAGGAGAAGGAAAUAAAGGGUAUUCAAUUAGGAAAAGAGGAAGUCAAAUUGUCCCUGUUUGCAGAUGGCAUGAUUGUAUAUCUAGAAAACCCCAUUGUCUCAGCCCAA
rnacentral:lncRNA from 10 species